rfam:Stegodyphus mimosarum contig68308, whole genome shotgun sequence.
GCCUUUGUGGUGUAGUGGUCAGCACACUCGACGCGUAACUGAGAGGUCUGUGGUUCGAUUUCCAGCGAAGGCG